rnacentral:rRNA from 1 species
UGGGGAAUUUUGGACAAUGGGGGAAACCCUGAUCCAGCAAUGCCGCGUGCAGGAUGAAGGCCUUCGGGUUGUAAACUGCUUUUGUACGGAACGAAAAGUCUUGGGUUAAUACCCUGGGAUCAUGACGGUACCGUAAGAAUAAGCACCGGCUAACUACGUGCCAGCAGCCGCGGUAAUACGUAGGGUGCAAGCGUUAAUCGGAAUUACUGGGCGUAAAGCGUGCGCAGGCGGUUUUGUAAGACAGUGGUGAAAUCCCCGGGCUCAACCUGGGAACUGCCAUUGUGACUGCAAGGCUGGAGUGCGGCAGAGGGGGAUGGAAUUCCGCGUGUAGCAGUGAAAUGCGUAGAUAUGCGGAGGAACACCGAUGGCGAAGGCAAUCCCCUGGGCCUGCACUGACGCUCAUGCACGAAAGCGUGGGGAGCAAACA